GUUGUCCAUGUCUCUACCCAGGCUGCUGUGUAGUCUACUAGUGAUGUCUCCCUACCUGCUGGUGACCAUCAUACUGCUGGUGAAAUACUGCAGGAGCAGGACUCAAGGGGAAACCAGGGUACCCAGGAAGACACACCAAGACCAAUUAGGUGAUCGUGUUGAAGAAGAGUGAGGCUGAGAUCCCUUGAUCACCAUAACAACCAUCAGAAUGGAACUCAUUGGAUUCUAAUAUAGAACUGUGAGACCCAAUGCUGUAUGUUUUUACAUUUUACCUCCAUUUGAUCAAAUGUGAUAUAUUAACUGCUAGAUGUAUUUUUCUUAUUUGAAUGUGUUUUAAUAUAUUGUGUGUUGUAUUAUUCAUUCAGCAGCUGUCCUUUAACAGCAGUCAUAUACUGGUCAUAUUCUGUAUAGCAUUAUGGUUGAUACAUUGUAAAUGCCUUAACUUUUCAUGUCUAAACAGAUACACUGAUAGGUGUUAUGGUUCAGACAUUAUUGUUACAGGUUCAGUAUAAUGUUAUACCGUUACAUGUUACAGAGUUAGAAAACAUACAGGAGAGGAGAAUUCAAUUAUUAUAAUGAUUUUCUUUAUUUUCCCAUUUUGGUCUAUAGUAGUUCAGCAUUAUUUUAUUUUAUUUAAACAUGAAACUAAUGUUGCC